rnacentral:lncRNA from 1 species
AAAACAUUAGCACUGUCCCACUGGGCGUGCCAAUUUGUUUACCGUGAAAAUUGGUAAACAACCGCUGAUCUUCCAAAUUACUAAAGUUGGUUACUUACAGGAUCGAUCAGAUUGAUCAUAGGACAUGUGCUAAUUGUUUUAAAGUAAAUUCUAGUAAAUAUGAACACUUCGAUAGUCUCUGUAGUAAUGAUGAUUAAAACUCAGACAGUAAAAGACUAAUAUGAAUUAAAGAGAAAGAUUGUAAAAG